GUAUCCUUUCGAUUUCGCGCGCUAAGCAGGAACCGAGACUUUGUCAUUUGCUAGCAGUCAGGUACCUGAAGUAGCGCGCGUGAUCAAACAGGA
rnacentral:pre_miRNA from 11 species